GGAAUAUUUAACAGUGUGCAGGUUGCCGUUUGAAAAUAAAAACCUAAUAGUUGUUUCACUCCCAAAUAAAAUAAGGGCGGAUAACGGUAACGUAACAUUUUAGAGCUUCAUACUUGUUUUUUUUUUGUAAGUAUUCCGAAAAAAGAAUAUACUUUCCGAGAUAAUUUCUGACGUUAUAUCGAUCACCUUACAUAACAGUUCCGAGUUUGUCGUGGUCUUUAUUUAAAAAAAAAAAAAAAA